CUAGAUCAGCAGGCCUUGAUCCUACAACAUACUAGUUAACAACUAAUUAUCCAAGCCAGCGGACUUUGACCUA
rnacentral:tRNA from 1 species